ensembl:lncRNA
CAGCUCUGCUCUUUGUCUGAGCAGAAGAGAUAAGAACCAAGCGGCUAGCUGACCUCACCGGCUUCCUGCGGGGUGGGCGUGCACGCUCACUUCCACCCCCCCUGCCGGAGCAAGCAGGGGUCCAGCUGGUGGUGGGCUCCCCUCCUCCGGAGAUGCCCACGUGGUGUCUGUCCCCAGGGAGCACAGGGCCACUCUAGGCUCCCCCGCAGCACUGCGACAGGAGGCUGUUACUGUGGCUGACCACUGCUUUCACAUAGUCGCGAGGUCCUGGCUGACCUGUUACUCUCCAAAACCAGCACUGUUCUCAGAAAGUAGAGACAGCUCCAAUGUAGAGUGGCCACUGGCUACCUACCUCUUUGGCUCCCUUGAAAAUCACGGAAAUCAAAUCAAACAGAAAAGAGUGUCCAUUCACCAGAAGGACUUGGGUAAAUGAUGCACCAUUGUUUGCUUUUUAUACAGAAAUAAUACGGAAAGAGGUCACUGGAUGAAUCUGUAAAUUGAAACAAGGACACGCUUCCUUUCAAUUUGUUAAAGCCCCUGCAUAUCUGAUAGUUCAAACUGAAGUAAUACAGAUCAUUAAUGAUGGAUUUUCCUCCUAUCUAAAUAGAAAAGGUAUUAUAUGUUAUAUCAAUGCUCAAGUUAAAUCUUUCCCUUAUAAGGUGCUUGACAUAAAUAGCUUUUAUUAUGGAACUCUUAAGUAGAGGGGACACACACAUUUCUUAAAGGUCCCAGCUGCUAUUGUUAUCCUUGGAGACAUAAAAUUGGAGUCCCCAACUUCCAAUAUCAAAUUUUAGCCCAAACCCUAUAAAACGUGUCUUGUCAGGAUGUGCCGGAAGGGAUAAGCUCCCCUCCACACAACAUGCCGCAGCUGGUGCUCUGUCCUGACCGGCAGGGUGUCCACACGCGGCGUAGGCAGAGUCCUUCCCGCUUCCCCUCUUCCUGCGGAGCUGGAGGGAAGGAGCGGCCGGCCGUGGCCUAGGCCACUGGACAGGGAACACGGCCUGCGGGCCGAGUCCAAGGCCUGCAGAUAGGACCCUCCGUCAGGAAUGCAAAGAAUGUUUUCCCUCGGACGAUGGAGGCGCACAGGCCAGGGGGAUUCUGUCUGCGUGACAGCCGUGACAUUUGCCAGAGCCCCGGACGGCUGUGGAAAUGGCAUUGCCCACCCUGAAAGUGAGAAGUGACAGAAGCAGCUGGAGAGAAGAUACCAGUAUAAAACCCGCCCAGACUCGUUUCUGUGGAGCCGGGAUGGGAACCGCGGCAUAGAGCCCUAUACACUCUUUCUGCACACAUUAACCUGUGCCAGCCCCCCGCCCCCGGCUGGGGUUUCAGGGACCCCAGUGAGGAGAGUCCAGUGACCCAGACAGUCACAGUAUCACCUGUGCUGAGCCUCGAGCGAAAACGAUGCAGGUGAAUCUCCGGGGAUAGCUGCGUGCGAGGCGGGUGCUGGGGACACAGCCCCAGGGCUGCUCCCUCGAACGGAACCGCCUGUGCACCUGAGAAGCCCGACUGUCACUCGAAAUGCGGCUGCUGCCUCCAGGGGACCCUGGAAGUCCCAGGAGCCUGGGGAGCCUCCGGGGAUGCACUGGGCAUCCAGGGCUCUGAGGCGAGGGGCCGAGAGAGGAAAUCAGCCUGAUGAGCUGAGCUGCAAUUGCAGUAAUAGCGCAUUUCCCCCUAGGCUGGCGCUGGGGAGCCCGGCUAGCACGGCUCAGUGCAGUCUCAGAUUCUCAGGAGAGGAACCUGCUUGGGGCCAGCGUGGCGUUUUUAAAAUGUCUUUUUGAUCCCCAAAGAGCUAAUGGAUAGAAAAAUGCCGAGACCCGCACAUUUACUGCAACAGCCGCUUCAGCUCCGAGCCGAGAGCUUCCCCGACAGACACCUGGGUGCUGUAAAUCACCCGCCAUAAACACUGAGGCCGGCCGGGCCUCGAGAGCUGCAGCGGGGCAUCCCACCAUCCGCUCCAUAAAGCAGAGCUGGCCCUGCCUCGUAAAUGUUCCUUUCUCCCCAAAAGACCCCUCCUGGGCAGGGCAGAGCCCCGACAGGGACUGACCAGAUAAGGCAGCAAGCUCUCCCACCUCGGCCCUCACAGCCCUGGCUGGCACCGGGGUGAGGUGUUAGGGGUUUAUGAUGUUCCCAAUGGCUUUACGAUCCUGAGAGGGGCCUGGCCGGGACUUCAACUCUGCUGUUUGUGAAGGUGGUGUGGGAAGAUAAAAUUCAAGUUUUGCAUUUUAAAAUUGUUAGUAAAAGCAUAAUCAGUAAUAUGCAACCAAAAGCAGUGUAGGGAAGGUCCCCAAAGUCAGUAGAAAUGAAGGUAGCAUUCCCACUUUUAAAACGUGCUGAAUAAAAUAUCCCAGUCCACCUUCCUGUCGCUGUUCCCCGUGAGAGCACUGGCGGUGACGGAUGGCCUUCCGAUUGCUCUACACGGGACCGGGACGCAGAGCGCAGACUGCGAAUGCGUUCAACAGAGGUCGCCUCCGGGCCGUUCCUUUGCAUCCCAGGCUCCACUUAAAAAGCAAAACCUUACAAUUAUCGGGCUAGGAGGGGUCUUUCAAGUGUCUCCCGACUGCAGGCAGACAGACGAGACGAUGGGCCUUGUAAACACCGGAGCUUUGCGGGCCCUUCUGCCGUCCAGCUUGGUGUGGACCAGAGCCGCAUGGAGCCCAGUCAGCCCCCGCCUCUGGCACUGGCCGGCACGGGGAAAGUAACCCAGAAAAAACAUUCUUCAGCCCGAAAUGAAGCAGGAUCGAAUGGACGCUGGUGAGAGCAAAUACUUACAUUGGAGAAGUCAAACCGAGCAUUAUUAAAUAAAGCUUGUUUAAUAUGUCUCAAACAGCAAGUGCUUUUUGAAGAGCACUCUGAACCUGAUAUUAGAAACGUGGCCGAGGGCACGUCUGGGGCCCCUUGGUGGUACUCGAGUUCGGCCCAGCAGUAAAAGUGUGAUUUUCUCCUUUCACGAGGUAUUUUCCCCUCGUGUUUGAAAUGAAAGCAGAAAGGGUCUUCAGGUAGCUUGUAAACGGUUAAUGUGAUGUAAUAAAUACCGACCACUGACCAGGAUCUAAUGUCUAUCCCUAAGACCCAGGGCACCAGGCGGGUGAGGGGACAGGGGAGCGCUGGAGGCCAGAAGCGGCGGGGGCCGAAUGCCCUCCGCAGUGCCGCAGGACGCCCCGGUUGGGGCUCUGGCCAAGCCCAAGCCACUCCCUCGCGGCUCUACAGCAUUUAUACUUCGAGUUUUAUUUAAAGGACGUUAGAUGUCUAUGUUCAGAAGAAAAAAUAUCCUUUGGAUACAAAAUCCCGCCCCUGCUCGCACUUUUAGGGUCCGGGCCGGGGGCACAGGCCCCAUGGAGGCGAAGGCACACGGGCACAGUUUGACUUCUGGGCCAGCCUCACUUUGUCCCCUGUGGAACGAAGGGGCCGGCCCUGUGCUGGGGGUGGCGUGUCUCAAACGCCGUUGCAAACCCUUUGUACACCUCAGGGUCCUCUGGAGGCAGGAACCCAGGGAAACUGCUCUCUCUGCAGGCCUUCCGGCCAGAGCCUGCCCAGGCUGCAGUGAGGCCUAACGACAAUGUCUUUCUUCCUUCGUCCUUAACAGUGUCCUUAGAAUACUUCCAAAUACAAGUUGAAGC